ACGCACGCUGGCGGCGUGCUUCACCCCUGCCAGUCGCGCGGAAAGGCCCUUCGGGGUACUCGAGCGGCGAACGGGUGAGUAACACGUGAGUAACCUGCCCUAGGCUUUGGGAUAACCCCGGGAAACCGGGGCUAAUACCGGAUAUGACCUGGUGCCGCAUGGUGUUGGGUGGAAAGUUUUUUCGGCCUGGGAUGGGCUCGCGGCCUAUCAGCUUGUUGGUGGGGUGAUGGCCUACCAAGGCGAUGACGGGUAGCCGGCCUGAGAGGGCGACCGGCCACACUGGGACUGAGACACGGCCCAGACUCCUACGGGAGGCAGCAGUGGGGAAUAUUGCACAAUGGGCGGAAGCCUGAUGCAGCGACGCCGUGUGAGGGAUGAAGGCCUUCGGGUUGUAAACCUCUUUCAGCAGGGACGAAGCGUGAGUGACGGUACCUGCAGAAGAAGCGCCGGCCAACUACGUG
rnacentral:rRNA from 1 species